GAGACUAACACACAGACAUGUAUAUACUCAUUAUUGCUGUUCAAAUUGAUGGUCAAAUUUCCAAGCACCACCUGAACGCCUCAUCUGUUUUCAACCCAUCACUGGACCAACUGUCGUCAUUCCGCUUUGCUCUCUGCUGUGGAACUUGACUGACAUCUGUGCUUUGCCUGUGUGCAGAAGAAGAACAAGGACCAGAUCUCCAGUCUUCUCUCUCACAUCCCAACCCCCCAUCCCCUCUAUCCUCUGUACUGCUCCACCUGUUGUCUCUGCCUUCCUUCCAUCUGUAUUUCACCCUGUGGUUUGUGAGAAAUUUUGCCAAACCAAGAAUCUUAUUGCGGUUUGAUUUCAAAGCCGCGUCUCUAAUUUUAGAGUUCGAAGGAACUCUAAUUCACGGUUUAAUUGGGAUUUCCCAGCCGUGUCUUUCCUGCUCUGUCUGUUCUCUCUGCUAAAUUUUCUCUCUACCUGUUUUUCACUCCUGGCUUGCUGCUGAAUAAUGGCAAGCCAAUAAAGCAAUAAAGAGUGCAUAUUUUGCCUCAACCUAUGAACAAACUGAACAAACAAAGAAAA